UACAGAGGCCUCGAGCGUUAGGCGGAAUCACUGGGCUUAAAGCGUGUGUAGGCGGAUGUCUAAGUACCUUGUGAAAUCCCACGGCUCAACCGUGGAACUGCUUGGUAUACUGGAUGUCUUGAGCCAUCUAGGGGCUACCGGAACAAAUGGUGGAGCGGUGAAAUGCGUAGAUAUCAUUUGGAACGCCAAUGGUGAAAACAGGUAGCUGGGGAUGUGCUGACGCUGAGACACGAAAGCCAGGGGAGCGAACGGG
rnacentral:rRNA from 1 species